CACACAAAAAAACAAACAGUGGCUUGAAUCCAGUACCCUUGAAUGAAAUCUAUCUUUCCUGAAUUCCCAGAGGCAGGGUGGUAGCAAAUUCAGUACCUUGAAUCUGGGAGAGAGGACAUCCUUUGAUCUAGUCCCUGGCUCUCAUUUCUGAUCUGCUGUGGGGGGAGGAGAUGACUAUCUCUCUGGGGCCUCCACCUGACUCUCCAACCUCCUCUUUCCCCAAAUGACUCCACUCGGAUUAAAGGGAAUUCAUGCUCCCUCUCUCCUCUGCUUUCUCCGCAGACUACCUGAUUCCUUCCAUCUGCACUGCUGCUUCCUGCUUCCCUCCUGCCUCCCCUUCCUUCCUUCUAACCUUCACUGACAUUUUCUGUUUCUCCACGAUUUCUCUCCCCUCCCUCAUCCCCUCCAACUCUGAUGGUGAAUUCUUUCCCUGGCACAGCCCUCCACUUGUUCGCCAGCCCUGCUGGGUUGCUUUCCUCAUUUCUGUAGCUUCUGUCCAAUUAUUUCUUUAGCCAGGCUCAUUGGGAGCCCUCUCCUCUGGCUACUCUGCCUCCUUUCUUCCUGCUGCUAGCCAUGCUAACACCCAGGAUUCGGAUCCAUUUGGGGAAGGGGUGGGAAGCUGGUUUGACUAAACUGGGGGAUGUUUGGCGAUUUGUUCUGUGUUCUGCUCUGAGGGCCCCAGCAUAGUUAAGAGAAUCUUAGGGGAGACGACACCAUUUCAUAGGCCAUUAAGGCUGCAGGACCUGGUGUUCAAGAACGUGGCAUCAAUAGCCUUUUUACAGUCAGCCCAUCCUUAAAAACAAGGGCCCCCUGAUGGGAAGGAGUGGAGGCCCUUGCCAUGGAAAACAAAGCUGUGACUCAGAGGCUUCGCGUAGAUGCUUCCUCGCUCGUCCACGUUCCUGAGUUUAACGUCUUUGGCUUGGGAAUUCACUUUGAAACUUUUCCAACAGAGACAAAAAUAGAGCUCAUAAAUGCCAUCACAGGCGCUUUUUAAUAAGGUGGCCUUUUAAGGGAAGACUGGGCUCCCAGCACUGGGUGUGAGGCAAGGAGCCUCGUGAGCCAGUGCUCGGCGUUCUCAGGCUGCUGACCAGGCUGCCGACCAGCCUGUGGCCAAACAGGGGAUGCAGGAAGAGGAAGCCGCUGGAGGUUUCUGUGCCUGAAACUACAGCAACCAAGUUCCUGAAAGGAAUGUUUAUUUUACUCAUUCAUCCAUUUAUUCAUCGCACAAGCAUUUCUCUGAAUAUUUAUUAUGUGCCAGGAAUGCUGCUUGGUGCUGGAAAUACCACAGACAAACAGAAAAAGGAAUUCCUGUCUCCGAGGAACUCACUGUCUAGUGAAGGACACAGAGAGGGUAUCAGGCAACCAAAAUCAGGAGGUAUUGCCAUGGGAGGGGAAUUUGGGGAGACAUAGCUCAGAGUUAGGGGAUGUGCACAGCUUCCUGGAGGAACAGAUGGAUACACGAAAGCCUGGAGAAUCAGCAGAGAAUUAACCUGGGGGAGGUGGGGGCAGGGGAAGGUAUGGAGAUGACUGUUCGGGGAAGAAGUAACAGCAUGUGCAGAAAGGGAGAACUUGGUUUACUUGAAGAAUUGAAAGUAGCUCUGUGACUGACUGGAAACCAUAUUGCUAAGUGGCAUUGGGAGAAUAAGAGAGCCCCUAGAGACAAAGGCAUGGUCACUGGUAAAGCCUUUCACUCCUGUCAAGGAGUGUGGACUUCAUCUGGAGGGCAGUGGGAACCAGUGAAGGGUUGUAUGCAAAGAAGUGACUCAGCCAGAUUGGCAUUUUAGCUGCAGAGCAGAGAAUGAGCUAGAAGUGGGAAGGCAGGUGAGGAGGCUUCUGUGAAGACCUGUCAGGAAGAUGGAAGUAGACAGGACUGGGAGAUAGCUAAAGUAUAGGAUUGUCUGAACUUGGUGUUGAAUUAAAAGUGGGCUUGAGAAGUCAGGAAUAAUUCCCAGUUCCCAGGCUGGAGCUACUGGGUGAGACAGAGAGCAAUGGAGGAGAAACCAGUUUUAGAUCUGCUGACUCUUCGUGUCUAUGGGAUAUCCGACUGAAGAUGUCAGGUUGGUAGUGGGGUGUGUAAAUCUAGAGCUCUAGAGAAAGACCUGGCUCAAGAUAGAUUUGGAAUGUUCUUCAGCAGAUGGAUGGCAGUGGAGCUGUGAGAGUGAAUGAGCGAUCUCGAGGCAAGUGAGGACAGUGUGAAGAGGAGAGGAAAUGAACGGAGUCCAAGGAAAGCCGAUAUGCAAAGGAUGGCCAAUGGAAGCAGCCAAAGAGGCAGGAGGAAAAACCAGGGGCAAUGGUCUUCUGUUGCUGGCCUCCAGCACUCAUUUCCCGCUUUUUCUGCCAAGAGCGCUCUGACCUUCCUUUGGGGAAUUCACUCCUCCCACAUUCCCAAUCCUGUGGUUUGGAUCCUGGGGCAGAGAAGCUGGCUGGUUCUGCCUGACCCUCCUAACUCACUUCCUACAGCUUCCCACUUGUUCUCUAUUCCAACCACAUUAAUAUUCCUUGAGUUUUUUUUGUUUUGUUUUUAAACCUUGCUCUCUGACCUUAGAAUCUUUAUCUCUCUGGACUGCUUUCUUUCCUCAUUCCCCUUCUCUAUACCCUCUGUCUAUUAACCUUCCCUCAGGGUUCAUACCUGUGCUCAAGCCUUUUCUAACAUUCCAGAUAAGACCAGGACAUUCAUUCAUGUGUUCAUUCAUUCACUCAUUCAUCUUUACUACUAGUAAGCACCUCUGUCCUUGUAUUAGCACCGUGCUGAAUGCUGGGACAUUAUGGAGAACAAAAUAGACAAGGUCCUUAGGAGGCUGACAAAUGAGUAAGGGAGACCAAUAAUAAACAAGUAAAUACUCAAAACAAUUACAAAAUGUUGUUAGUUUUGUAAAGGAAGUAAACAGCGUACCUUGAUAGAAAACAACAGAAGGUCCUUAUCUUGGAUUGGAUGGAUGGUCAGAGAAGGCUCUCUGCAGAUGUGAAAAUUAAACUGAGAUCUGAGAGCAAAGGCAGAACCAGCCAUGUGAAGAGCUAGGGAGAGUGUUUCGGGAAUAAGGAACAGUGAAUACGAAGGCCUAUGGAGGGAAAGAACUUGAUGGGCUCUAGCAGUUCUAGAAAAGUGAAGAUGAAGAAAGUGACACAAGAUGUGGUUGAAUAUGAGAAUCUUGUGGACAGUGGUACAAAGUUUGGAUUUUAUUCUUGUUACAAUGAGAAGACAUUCAAAGGUGUGACUUAAGUUUUAGUUAGGUUGGCCUGGAUGCUGAGUGAAGAAGGGAUUGAGGGUUAAACAAAGAAUUAGGAAGACUAAUUAGGACCCUCUCAUUGUGGUUCAGGUGAAAAAGGAUUAUGGCUAGUUGUUGGAAAGGACUAGGGAGAUGGAGAAAGUGGGUGGAUUUAAAACUAGAAUAUAUGGGAACACCUAAUGGAUUAGAUAUGAGGUAUCAGGAAAGAGGGGGCAAGGAUGAUGCUUAAUUUCUGGCCUGAAUGAGUGUAAAGAGAACCAGACUGGCUUGGCUUGAUCUGCCCCAGCCCCCUUUGACUCCCCUUGGAGACUCUGGGACAAAUCUACAGUAGCCCAGAGCUUGAGAAGCAAGAAUCAUUUGAACACCAUUGGGAUGGGGAAUCUUUAUGGUUCCUUCCAGUUUUGAAUUUUAUUUUUUAUUUGAAACUGAAAACUCUCUGUGAAUAGGGAUAAUAUUUCUAUUUCUUUUGACUUCUGUAGUUACAUAGGUGGAGCUCUAUCCAGGGAGCAUUCAGUAAGUGCUAGUUGACUGUUCACUUUGGCACCGACCUUCUAUAAUUGAAUUUUAGAUUAAAUUUCCUUUUUAAAAUAGGAUUCUAACGUAGAGUAAACUUUCAAUUGAAAUCAAUUCAUUUUGAUAUAGUAGAGCCAUGGCAAAGAUAAUCCAAACUGUAAAAUGUAAAGUAAUUUCUAUUUGAGUUGAGUCAGAGGAAAAAAAAAAAUGUGUUUGUGCUAAACUAAUUCUCUACAUUUAGGUAAAGGUUAUUUUAGGGCAAAUGCCAACAGGUGGUGGACCAAACCCACUCAGAACAGGACCAAAAAACCCACGGAAAAGAAUUCAUAACAGUGAAUAUAAUCUAUAUUUUUGGUAAUAUAUUUUUUGUUGAAAACAUAUUAAUUCACUAAAGAUUUAUUUUGAAGCAAUGACUUCAGGCAAUUUUUAGACCUGUUUUAAAGAUGAAUGAGACAGAGAUGGAGCUGUGUUGUCAGUCGAAGACCAAAAAUCAAAGAAAAGCUGAACUCAAGCUUACCAUUUUCUUUUUGCUCUUUCCCACUGCUGUUUCUAUGCAAAGUACUCCACUCUUCAGUAUUCUGUUUCCUAGCCAUCUUUCCAGGUUGAAAACUCAGAAUGUCAUUAUCUCUAAGCACACCGAUCAAAUCCUCAGAUAACUACACCAUUCCAAGCCUUUUGUUUUAUUAAAGAGGGAAGUAAAGUAACAGAAUGCCUUUUAUAUGCCAAGCACUCUUGGACAAAGGUCGUGCUGUUCCAUGCUGCGAAUGACCCUGUAAUGAAUGUCCCAUUUCACAGAUGAGGAUGGGAGGAUUGGCAGUCCAACAUCUGACCCACUUCCUGUGUGGGAUGAAUCUGCUGUUGUACUUAGGGUCCUUAAAAAGGAGUACUGGAUAUUACUCCGUGGCCACUGGGGCAGUGAGACCUUUCUUUGUUGCCCAAUGUGGUAAUCAGGUCUUGGCCAACAGGGUUCUGGGUUUGUAACAUGGGGCACAAAGAUGGCAGGAAAAUUAGACAUCCUUUCUAGUGGCAGAAGUUGUGGCCAAGAGCCUGGUGGCGACACUUUGGGACAGUGCCCAGCAGUUGAAAUUCCUGGCCAGAAUGUCCUGCUAAGGAUUGUUCUUCCUCUACUAGACUUUGGUUUUCAGCCGAAUUUCCAAGUCUGAUUCUUCAGCUCCUGUCAAUUCUGGAUGCUGGAAAUAUUUGUUCGGUAAAUUCCGGUUUGGGUUGGUACAGCCAGAGUUGGUGCGAUUCUUACACCAGAAACCCUGACUGAUCUGUGAGGAAACAGACUCCUCAGUCAAGGAGCUUGUUCAGGAAGCCGGCUAGCAAGUGGCAGUGUUCUGGCUGAGUAGUCCAGGUUGUUUCUUUGAUUUCAUGUUUCGAACAGAGAAAAGGAAUGAGUAUGAUGCACAGAUUAAAGGGGGGCUUGAAGACCAGAAGACUGGAGACCCCCAGAGCACAGGACCGUGCCUCUGCUAACGAUCUUCCUGUAUAUCCAUCUCUAAUGUCCACUCGGAGCUCCGCCAUGGCAGGCCACUGGGCUGGGCGUUCAGUGACCAGUCAACUGAAUAAGUACAGAGAGGAGAGGACUUCAUUUUCCAGCAGCACUUACAACCAAAAUGGGAGUUUGUACUCACCUGUUUCACCCUGUCUCCACCUCCCCUGUGCCUCCAGCACGCUUUUGCUUACUGGACUGUAAAAUGGAGCCCAACUAAGGUUCUGGUUGGCAGAAUAAAUAUCAGAUUUCUCGGGGUCAUUUGGGACACAGUCCUUGCCCAGACCUGGCUCCUGAUAGCCCAUGAACACUUUGUCUUUUGUGUUUUGGAAUUAAGAAAACGAGUUCUGCGUGUUUCCUACCAUCACAAGGAGCAGUGCAUUGAAUCGGUGCCAUUGUAAGCUUGAUUGUUGUUGCAUAGAUAAAAGCCUCAUUAAGUCCCUCCUCAGGAGAGAAGAAUCUUAUUCUGAGGACAGAGUUUCUAGCGGUGGGGUGGGGGCUUAGGGGCUUCUUGCUUGUCAUGGUUGCAACAACAGAACAGUAAAUGCAAGAAAUAAUUAAAUACCUGCACUUUCCCCCCUCAACACCCCUCCCCCUCCCCCACCCCACAGACCUCGUCAAGAGGCUGGGUGAGUUUUUAAUUAAUGCUGCAUUUUCAAUAAAUCCGUAUCUGAAUGUGGUGCCGAUUUUCCCUGGAUAAGGAAAGAUAAUAAUGAGAAUCCUAUUUUUUCAGUCCCACACUAAAGGGAUGCCUAGUAUAUUUAAUCAUGCUGUAGAAAUCCUGGCAGCUUUCUCUGAGCCCAGCCUCUGCUCUAAUUACAUUUCUAGAUUUUAGUAAAUUGAAAGAGAAAAUGUAGGAACAAAAUAAUUAAAACCGAAGAGGAAGUGCAUAUUAAAAAGGAGAAGCUGUUUAAAAUUCUUCCACACAGUGCUUCCAAGGACAUCCACAGUCAUUUAAUCAGAUCCACACCAAAUCAAAGUCCUUUGUACAGAGGCUGGUGGUAGCACGUCGCAGGUGGGGGCGGUAGGUCCUUCCAGUAGCAUUGCACCAGGCUACAGAUGGGGAUGGGACUCUUAGGUCCUUCCGGAUCUCUGGGGAUUCAGAGCCAGCCCAGACAAGCUGCGGGCAGACUCACUAGCACCGAGCGGCCCCCUCCCAGGCCCCAGGCAGAAUAUAACUAAACUGUAACGAUUAGCCCAAAUUAGGAGUGUAUUGUCCUUGGCUCCAAGUUUUCUCUUUUUGUAGCCCCUUCCCCAUCUCCAUGCUCCUCCCUCCAAGGAAUGAGUCCUCCUUUUCUUUCUUUGCUGCCAUCCUAUGACUUCUCAAGUCAACAACUGAGCAGCCUCAGGACACCAGGAGUCAGUCACGAGGAGCGGUUCCUGGGAGACCCGUGGGGCACUGUGGAUUUUCACAAGGACCGAAAGAAACCCUUGCUGGCGUCAGCUCCAGGAAUGUACGCUGAUGAUGAUGUUAAGUGAGAUCUCAUGGAAAAGUUUCCCAGCACCAGCCUGGUAGGUGACAAAAGCUCUUUUUGUGUCACGAGGGCGGGCACGGUCACUACCACACCGUUGUCCAAUGGAGGGUGUUCUCUUCGUGACCAGGGUAACUGAAAUCAGGCUGGGCAAGCUCUAGGAGUUCCGUGUGCUGUGUCCGCGACUCCUAGAACCAUGGUCAGC